AUGGGGCGAGCUGGGGACCGACCCAGGGGAGGAGAGGGGACCCGGGGAGGGCAGGGGCCAAGAGGAGCGGGGGGGGGGCGGCAAGGGGAAGCCAGCAGCAGAAACGGGGAGGCGGCGGCCAGGGCCGUGGGGGAGGGCCGGAGCCGAGGUCGGCGAGCGCUCCGGGAACACCGGAGGCCGGGGACCAAGCGGAGGCCAGGCAGACGGCGGGGCCCGAGGUCGAGGCCAGGCGAUGGGAGGACAAGGGGGGUGGCGAGAGGGGAAAGGGGGGCGCGAGCGGCCAAAGGCAAAACCGGGACCAAGGGGGGGCCUCGCACCAGAAGGGAGGGCGCGCAGGGCCAGGCCAGGCAAGGCCAGGCCAGGGGAGGGGGAGAGAGCCGGCGCGAGGGCAAGAGGGGAGGGCCCAAGACGGGGAAAAGGGGGGGAACACCGGGUCGUCCCGUGGGGGGGCCGGUGGGGCCAGAGAGUCCAAAGCCACAAGAAGAACAAGAAGAAGAAGAGGAAGAAGAAGAAGAAAAGAAAAAUCCUCCUCCGCUGGCUCCGCCUCCUCCUACUCCGCAUCCUGCUGGUCGGGGCAAGGGAGGAGGAGGUGGGGGGGCCCGGCUGGUCCGGCAGGGUCAGGCUGUCCAGCCGCUCGGGGCGGGAUCCCGCCCCGGCGGCGGCGGCGACGACGGUGAGGGCGACUCGGAGGGUCCGGCGCCGGCCCCCCGACCCGCCCGACUCAUGUGCAGUUGCUCUCCAUCUUCGCCCACCAAGGUCGGUGUGGCCCCGCCGAGGGGCGGGUUGCAGCCUCCAGCGUCGGGCCCGGGCGGGCCAGGGCGGCGCCCCCGGCAGGCCCCACCGUGGUUCGGGCCUGGGAGGGCAAGAGAAACAAACGGCAGAGUGAGCCAGCUAGCCAGCAACCCAGCGAGCCAGUUCCCACCUCCGGCCGAGAUGCGGGGCCCCUGCCCGCCCGCCCGCCCGCCCUCUCUGGCGGCCGCGGUUCCGUGGACUAGGCCCCGCGACGUCCGUGGCCAUCAGCCGCCCCCGCCCCACCAGGACCCUACCCCCCUGAGCCCGGAAAGGAGGCCAGCUGGGCGGAGGAGCGGCAGGGUCUCCGCGGGGGCCGGGGCCGGCCUGGGGCGGGGAGGGCGGCGGGGGUUGCAGUGCUGCGCCUGUCCCCAGCCGAGCCGAUCGGACGGGCCAGCCGCAAGGAGUCCGGACCCCCGGGGUCCCGGGAGGGGCCUGCGUCUCAUCCCACGGAUUCCCCCGCCACCACUCACCCAGGAAGACACACCCCCCCCCGCCGUCCCCCCGGCCCCCUGCGGUGGCAGCGCAGCCGCCACUCAGGGAGAGGGCCGAGGCGGCAGGGGGGUCGGACCCCAGGAGAACACCGACGAUCCUCUGACCCCGGGAGCGGCACCGGGCACCCGACGGGGGGCCGACAGGGGCCCCACAAUAGGGCGGGGCCGAGUCCACCACAGCGCACAGGUCGUGGGUCGGGGGGGGGUUGGGCCCAUGGGAAGGCGAAGGCCACCAGAGAGGCCCUUGGCAACGGUCAGUCCCGGGCGGACCCGGGAGACCGAGGGAGACGGGUCGGCCGGGAGGAGAAGGCUAGACGGGGAGAAGAAAAAAAAGUGGGGGGCGAGGGGAGAUGGGCGCUGGGCUGGGGGGAAAGUGGGGCUCGGGGACAGAGUGUGGCCGGGCGCCAAAAGGACGGGAGGGGGAAGGGGUAGGCCGGGAGGAGAAAGGGGGCCGAGGGCAAAAGGUGGGGCCGGGAAGCCAGCUGACGGGCCGUAA
rnacentral:lncRNA from 1 species